rnacentral:tmRNA from 1 species
GGGGCUGAUUCUGGAUUCGACGGGAUUUGCGAAACCCAAGGUGCAUGCCGAGGGGCGGUUGGCCUCGUAAAAAGCCGCAAAAAAUAGUCGCAAACGACGAAAACUACGCUUUAGCAGCUUAAUAACCUGCUUAGAGCCCUCUCUCCCUAGCCUCCGCUCUUAGGACGGGGAUCAAGAGAGGCCAAACCCAAAAGAGAUCGCGUGGAAGCCCUGCCUGGGGUUGAAGCGUUAAAACUUAAUCAGGCUAGUUUGUUAGUGGCGUGUCCGUCCGCAGCUGGCAAGCGAAUGUAAAGACUGACUAAGCAUGUAGUACCGAGGAUGUAGGAAUUUCGGACGCGGGUUCAACUCCCGCCAGCUCCACCA